rnacentral:tRNA from 1 species
GCCUGGGUGGCUCAGUGGUUGAGCAUCUGCCUUCCACUCAGAUCAUGAUCCCAGGGUCCUGGGAUCAAGUCCCACAUUGGGCU